GCGAUGAAUGAAGGGCAUGGUUCCUUUACCACGGCGCAAAGCGCCCAAGGAUCAAAAGGGAAUGCGGAACGGGCGACCCAUGCCGGGGCCCGCAGCCGUAGCCGCCCCCGCGACUGUCAGCGGCGAGCGUCUGUCACUUACGCCACUGGGCUUUUGUCCGGGAAGGCGACAGAUGCACCGACCCGCCAGCCAGGAGACCUGCCAUGCAUGAACAGAAACC
rnacentral:ncRNA from 2 species